rnacentral:sRNA from 1 species
UCAAGCAAGCGCGGGUAAACGGCGGGA